rnacentral:rRNA from 1 species
UACGGAGGGUGCAAGCGUUAAUCGGAAUUACUGGGCGUAAAGCGUGCGUAGGCGGUUCGUUAAGUCUGUUGUGAAAGCCCCGGGCUCAACCUGGGAAUGGCAAUGGAUACUGGCGAGCUAGAGUGUGUCAGAGGAUGGUGGAAUUCCCGGUGUAGCGGUGAAAUGCGUAGAGAUCGGGAGGAACAUCAGUGGCGAAGGCGGCCAUCUGGGACAACACUGACGCUGAGGCACGAAAGCGUGGGGAGCAACAGG